rnacentral:rRNA from 1 species
CCUGCACCUGCCGGCGACCGGCGCACGGGUGAGUAACACGUAUGGAACCUGCCCGCCACAGGGGGAUAACCCGGGGAAACCCGGCCUAAUACCCCAUGCCGCCCGGACCGGGCAUCCGGUCCGGGCGAAAGGAGGAAUCCGGUGGCGGCUGGGCAUGCGGCGCAUUAGCUUGACGGCGGGGUAACGGCCCACCGUGGCGACGAUGCGUAGGGGUUCUGAGAGGAAGGCCCCCCACACUGGAACUGAGACACGGUCCAGACUCCUACGGGAGGCAGCAG